UACAGAGGUCCCGAGCGUUGUUCGGAUUCACUGGGCGUAAAGGGUGCGUAGGUGGCUUGAAAAGUUUGAUGUGAAAGCUCAGGGCUUAACCCUGAAAUGGCAUUGAAUACUGUCGAGCUGGAGGUUUGGAGGGGGGACUGGAAUUCUUGGUGUAGCAGUGAAAUGCGUAGAUAUCAGGAGGAACACCGGUGGCGAAGGCGGGUCUCUGGGCCGAUACUGACGCUGAGGAGCGAAAGCAUGGGUAGCGAACAGG
rnacentral:rRNA from 1 species